rnacentral:tRNA from 1 species
AGUAAAGUCAGCUAAUAAAGCUUCUGGGCCCAUGCCCCAAAAAUGUUGGUUAAACCCUUCCUUNACUA